rnacentral:lncRNA from 1 species
GUGCCAUCACUUUUAAUGGCAAAAAUUGCUUUUGCACCAACCUAAAUAAUAAAUAUAUGACUGUGGUGAGGCAAGGCAUCAGUGAGUCACCGGAAGGAUCACUAACAUGUUUUAAAUUAUAUUAAUAUAUCUGUAGCACAGAAUAAUGUUUUAAAGCAUAUAGUUUAAUCACAAUGUUUUAUAAAUUUUCCUUUCAAAACUUAAAUGGGAAGGACUGGUAUUAUUUCAGAUUAAUAAAUCCAGAUGAAUAAGAUUAGUAGAUCCAACAUUAUCAUUAAUGACCAAAUAUUUGUAGUUAUAUCUUAUGGGAUCUUAAAUCUUUUCUUUAAUCUUAAUUCGACUGCAUAUUUCAGAAUUUAAAUUAGAAGAUUUCCUCGCUGUAUUAGUUUACUAGAGCUCACAUAUGAAGUAUCACACACUGGGUGGCUUAAACAACAAACAUUCUUUUCCCACAGUUCUGGAGGCUGGAAGUCCAAGAUCAAGAUGCUGGCAGGUUUGGUUUCUCCGGAGGCCUCUCUCCUUGGCUGGCAUUGCAGGUGGUCCCCUUCUUGCUCAUCCUACAUGGUCCUUCCCUCUGUACUUGUCUGUAUCCUACUCUCCUCUUCUACUAAGGACACCAGUUACAUUGGAUUAAGGCCCUCUCUAAUGACUUCAUUUUAACUUAAUUAACUUUUUAAAGACUAUCUGCAAAUACAGUCACAUUCUGAGGUACUGAAGGUUAGUGCUGUCACACAUGAAACUGGGGAGGAAACCCCACACUUCUAAUUCUAGUACUUAUGCUCAGGAAUAAGCAUAUUCCCCUACAUCUUUGCCUGCUGUCAUAUAUGCUGCCAAAACCGCAGAGGAAAUUGUAUAAUGUCAUUUUCAAUGUACAUGACCUUCCUGAAAUAAAUAAAAAUGACCUGGCUCAUUACAUAAAUGAAUGAAUUAAAAUGAAUUUAACUACAACUACAAUUUCUAGUUUUUUCCAUCAACUAGGAAAGAUGAAAGGACUUGUAUGUUCCCCCAAAGCUUAGGCUUCUUUCCUAGAUCUUUCAUUUUAGAUUCAUUUACACAAACACACCUUUUUCUCUUAAACAUUCUUCUCUGGGAAUUGAUGCAAACGCAAAAGAGAAAGGAAGGGAGGACCAGUCAACCAUUCCAGGAGGAAACGUGAGGUCAAGAGAAUGGUUUAACAUCAAUCAGGUAUAGAUGUUAUCAGCAUGAAAACAUCCUCAGAAUCACUGCUAUUUCCACAUUCUAGAGAGCGGAAUCGGAGUAGAAGACAGUUGUCAGUAGAAUCUCAGUGGAACUCAGAACAUAAUUGAUGUCAGGAAUCUGUCAACUCAAACAUUCACUGAAGGCCUACUAUGCAUAAGGAAUUGCGCAAGACCCCAGAGGAGGUUGAGUGACAAACUACUGAAAGAAAUGAGGAUUAUGUUACUUGGUGGAGGAAAAGAGAACUUCAGAGGAGAUACGAGAACUGUCUAAAAAAAAAAAACACAUGAAGGGCUUCCUGGCAGAAACAGAUUUGAUUUAUCCUCAGAGGCUCCAGAAGGCAGAGUUUAAUCAACUAGUUCAAUUCCUGAGAGGCUGAUUUUGGCUAAAAGAAGGAUGAAUUUUCUGAUAUAACUAUCCAGUAACAGUGAGGUAGCAAGUUCCUUCUCACCGAAUGUGUCAAACAAGGUUUGGGGGUGCUGUGGAGGGAUUCACAGAAGUUUUAUAGUUGGGGUUUGAGAUUUAGGAACAUACUACGGUUCAGAUUAACUCUGGAUUAAGGUCAAACAUACAAGAAAUCAGACCAGGCUGGGUGCGGUGGCUCACGCCUGUAAUCCCAGCACUUUGGGAGGCGGAGGCGUGUGGAUCACGAGAUAAAAGAUAAUGCCUGGACAUGCAGACUUCCCAUAAAUCCCACUGGUGUGGAGAACCCUUAAACACAGCCAGUUCAUAAGGAGAGCAACAAGGAUGACUGGAUGUUAAUUACCAGACUGAUGAAUAUAUAAUGCAGGAAUCAACAGGGACUGAAAGAAAACUCGUCUGAGCUAAGAUAUUAACAUGCUCGAUAACCUUGGCCAAGGCACUUGGCCUCUGUACGCCUCAAUUAGCCAAACAGUAAAGCUGAAUAAAAUAAAAAUCUUGAUGAAAAUUAGAUGUGGAUUUACUCUGAUGAGCUUUCCUGAGUAAUUUACAGUCCCAAAGACAACAGUCAAAACACAAAGCAAACAUCCAAAGUGCCAACAGUGGAGGGAGUCGUACCAAUGCAGCUGAUCAACUUAUUAUACAAAGCCUCUUAAAUCAGCUCAUGUAGCAUUCUAUUAAUUUAAUGCACGCCACAUGAUGGUGAUUAAAUCUUCCACGUUGGAAGCAGAAUGUGCUAUAUAGUUUCAGAAGAAGAGGUUAAACAAAAAUUCUGAUCUCCCCACAUGACCCAAAAAUAAUACCUUUUCUAGAAGUUGCUUUAAAGAAACCCACCAUGGUACUAAAGGGAAAGGGUUGCCAAAUCUCUAAAGGU